rnacentral:rRNA from 1 species
CAGUAGCCGCGGUAAUACGUAGGGUGCGAGCGUUAAUCGGAAUUACUGGGCGUAAAGCGUGCGCAGGCGGUUAUAUAAGACAGAUGUGAAAUCCCCGGGCUCAACCUGGGACCUGCAUUUGUGACUGUAUAGCUAGAGUACGGUAGAGGGGGAUGGAAUUCCGCGUGUAGCAGUGAAAUGCGUAGAUACGCGGAGGAACACCGAUGGCGAAGGCAAUCCCCUGGACCUGUACUGACGCUCAUGCACGAAAGCGUUGGGAGCAAACAGGAUUAGAUACCCCAGUAGUCCCUGUCUCUUAUAC